GUGCUCCCUUCGACAGCACACAUACUAAAACUGGAUGGAUACAGAGAAGAUGAGCAUAGCCCCUGCACAAGGAUGACACGCAAAUUCAUGAAUCAUUCCAUAUUUUU